rnacentral:rRNA from 1 species
UACGUAGGGUGCGAGCGUUAAUCGGAAUUACUGGGCGUAAAGUGUGCGCAGGCGGCUUCGCAAGUCGAGUGUGAAAUCCCCGAGCUUAACUUGGGAAUUGCGCUCGAAACUACGGAGCUGGAGUGUGGCGGAGGAAGGUGGAAUUCCACGUGUAGCGGUGAAAUGCGUAGAGAUGUGGAGGAACACCGAAGGCGAAGGCAGCCUUCUGGGCCAACACUGACGCUCAUGCACGAAAGCGUGGGGAGCAAACAGG